CCUACGGGUGGCAGCAGUGGGGGAUAUUGCACAAUGGGGGAAACCCUGAUGCAGCGACGCCGCGUGUGGGAAGACGGUCUUCUGGAUUGUAAACCACUGUCCCCAGGGACGAAACUGACGGUACCUGGGGAGGAAGCUCCGGCUAACUACGUGCCAGCAGCCGCGGUAAUACGGAGGGAGCAAGGGUUGUCCGGAAUUACGGGGUGAAAAGGGAGCGUAGGCGGGGAUGCAAGUUGGGUGUCAAAACUACCGGCUCAACCGAUAGUCGCACUCAAAACUGCAGCUCUUGAGUGAAGUAGAGGCAGGCGGAAUUCCUAGUGUAGCGGUGAAAUGCGUAGAUAUUAGGAGGAACACCAGUGGCGAAGGCGGCCUGCUGGGCUUUUACUGACGCUGAGGCUCGAAAGUGUGGGGAGCAAACAGGAUUAGAUACCCCUGUAGUC
rnacentral:rRNA from 1 species